GAUGAACGCUGGCGGCGUGCUUAACACAUGCAAGUCGAACGGGAAUUAUUUUAUUGAAACUUCGGUCGAUUUAAUUUAAUUCUAGUGGCGGACGGGUGAGUAACGCGUGGGUAACCUGCCUUAUACAGGGGGAUAACAGUCAGAAAUGGCUGCUAAUACCGCAUAAGCGCACAGAGCUGCAUGGCUCAGUGUGAAAAACUCUGGUGGUAUAAGAUGGACCCGCGUUGGAUUAGCUUGUUGGCAGGGUAACGGCCUACCAAGGCGACGAUCCAUAGCCGGCCUGAGAGGGUGACCGGCCACAUUGGGACUGAGACACGGCCCAGACUCCUACGGGAGGCAGCAGUGGGGAAUAUUGCACAAUGGGGGAAACCCUGAUGCAGCGACGCCGCGUGAAGGAAGAAGUAUCUCGGUAUGUAAACUUCUAUCAGCAGGGAAGAUAGUGACGGUACCUGACUAAGAAGCCCCGGCUAACUACGU
rnacentral:rRNA from 1 species